CUUGCACACCUCGAUUCGAUUGUUGCGGUUGAGGGGAUUGAAGUCCAGUUUCAGCAACGUUUACUCCCAAAUCGAGUGUUUAACGGAUAGAUCCUCUUCUUGAUGUUGCUUGUUCCUCGGUUUGAAUUGAUUGAAUGGCGAAUGACUGAAAUAUAUUGUCCCAUCACCGCGGAAAAUGAGCUGUCCAUUGUGAGCAUAAUCCAUGGAGAGAAAAUUUGGGCUAUAAGAGCUCAGUGCAAAGCUUCCUGUAAGCAUGGGAAAAAACCAAGGCACAGUUCCACGCGAGGUAGUUCAAUCUUUCAUUUUCGUCUGAUUAGUACUUGCCCUCCAAGUAUUAGAUUUCUUGCAAUUUU